CCUCCUUCCUAAACCACCCCCUUCCCGCUCACCCCCCCCAACCCCCGCCCAUGCUACGCUGUGGAGAAGGAGGAAGUUUUGAGUAGGCAUCCAAAGUCAACAGGGCCAGAUAUUGAUCUCCUGCAGCUCCUCCUGGUGGAUCUUGAGGUUCCUUUAAAGCACCUCCACUCCUGGAACCUUCCCUGGCUCCACUAUCGAACUGCUGGGUGGGGAUCCGUUCCUGCUAUUACCCUCUUCUACUGAGAUGGGCAGCAAGACAGGACAGCACAGCUGCUCAGUGCAGUUCAGAAGAUGGGGAAGUUCCAGCAAGGAAAAGCAAGAAGCUCCCGAGGAGACAGGUCGUUCAAUAUUCUAGUCUAGAAGAUCAGAGACCGAAGCUGGCAUCCUGUGUUGCUGAAUUGAGGAACUAGUACUGAAUUUUGCACCUC
ensembl:antisense Gm15848 predicted gene 15848